CCUACGGGAGGCAGCAGUGAGGACUAUUGGUCAAUGGGCGCGAGCCUGAACCAGCCAAGUAGCGUGAAGGAUGACUGCCCUACGGGUUGUAAACUUCUUUUAUAAAGGAAUAAAGUGAGGCACGUGUGCCUUUUUGUAUGUACUUUAUGAAUAAGGAUAGGCUAACUCCGUGCCAGCAGCCGCGGUAAUACGGUGGAUCCGAGCGUUAUCCGGAUUUAUUGGGUUUAAAGUGAGCGUAGAUGGGUUGGUAAGUCAGUUUUGAAAGUUUGUGGCUCAACCGUAAAAGUGCAAUUGAGACUGGCAGUCUUGAGUACAGUUGAGGUAGGCGGAAUUCGUGGUGUAGCGGUUAAAUGCUUAGAUAUCACGAAGAACUCCGAUUGCGAAGGCAGCUUACUAAACUGCCACUGACAUUGAUGCUCGAAAGUGUGGGUAUCAAACAGGAUUAGAUACCCGGGUAGUC
rnacentral:rRNA from 1 species